GCCUGGGUGGGCUCAGUCGGUUGAGCGACUGACUUUGGCUCAGGUCACGAACUCAAGAUUCGUGGGUUCGAGCCCCGCGUCGGGCU
rnacentral:tRNA from 1 species